rnacentral:rRNA from 1 species
UACGUAGGGUGCAAGCGUUAUCCGGAAUUAUUGGGCGUAAAGAGCUCGUAGUCGGUUUGUCGCGUCUGCUGUGAAAACUGGAGGCUCAACCUCCAGCCUGCAGUGGGUACGGGCAAACUAGAGUGCGGUAGGGGAGACUGGAAUUCCUGGUGUAGCGGUGAAAUGCGCAGAUAUCAGGAGGAACACCGAUGGCGAAGGCAGGUCUCUGGGCCACUACUGACGCUGAGAAGCGAAAGCAUGGGGAGCGAACAGG